ensembl:lncRNA
CGCUGGUCCCCAGUGGGAAGAGGAGGCACAGAGAAGUGCUUGGGUGGAAGAGUGGGCGGCUUUACCAACACUCUCCUGGCAGUUGAUCCAGACUGAGAUCGGAGACAAGGAUGUAGAAUUAGAGGGCUCGGCCAGCCCCUCAUGAGGCCCGGGAAGCCAGAAGCUGCCACUUCUUACACGAGAGGAAGCAGGCUGUGCUGGAGGGGUGAGUGUGAGCUGCAGCAGAGUUUGCAGAACUGUGUCCCUCCCAAGCCACUGGGCCAGAGUGGCCGUCCUCACCAUCAGGAAAUUCAUCCUCAUAUUCCAGCUUAUUGUUACUCCCUCUUGUUCUGGAGACCAGUGGGCCAGAUGCUGCAAUGGUGUCACCCCAGCAAACACACUUUCUUACUUUCCCAUCUUUUCCGAAGCUUCCAGCCACAGUCCCUUCAACCUGAGGCACAAGAAAGAGUACAUUCCUUCCAGCAAGUAGCAAAGGACAGCAAAGCCGGGCUUUUCCAGGAGCCUCCGGAUGCCUUGCAGAAGCCUAUGGAAGGCCCCACAACUCCAUGGGCCCUGAGCAUUGUUUUCUCUCAGGGCCUGUGUCUCUCAUCCCUCAGCCAAGCCAGUCACCAGCUCCCAGCCCUCCCUCCCCCCUCCUCCCCCCUCUGUUUGCACAACCACUUGAAGCCUUAUCUGGGGCUCUCUGACAGGACUGUGUUGUGA